UACAGAGGUCUCAAGCGUUGUUCGGAUUCAUUGGGCGUAAAGGGUGCGUAGGUGGCGCUGUAAGUCGGGUGUGAAAUUUCGGAGCUUAACUCCGAAACUGCAUUCGAUACUGCGGUGCUUGAGGACUGGAGAGGAGACUGGAAUUCGAUGGUGUAGCAGUGAAAUUCGUAGAUAUCGGGAGGAACACCGGUGGCGAAGGCGGCGACCUGGGUCGAGACUGACGCUGAGGCGCGAAAGCGUGGGGAGCAAACAGG
rnacentral:rRNA from 1 species